CGGCAAAGGGCGAGGGGCUAAUAAUGCAGUCGAGCGGACAGAUGGGAGCUUGCUCCCUGAUGUUAGCGGCGGACGGGUGAGUAACACGUGGGUAACCUGCCUGUAAGACUGGGAUAACUCCGGGAAACCGGGGCUAAUACCGGAUGGUUGUUUGAACCGCAUGGUUCAAACAUAAAAGGUGGCUUCGGCUACCACUUACAGAUGGACCCGCGGCGCAUUAGCUAGUUGGUGAGGUAAUGGCUCACCAAGGCAACGAUGCGUAGCCGACCUGAGAGGGUGAUCGGCCACACUGGGACUGAGACACGGCCCAGACUCCUACGGGAGGCAGCAGUAGGGAAUCUUCCGCAAUGGACGAAAGUCUGACGGAGCAACGCCGCGUGAGUGAUGAAGGUUUUCGGAUCGUAAAGCUCUGUUGUUAGGGAAGAACAAGUACCGUUCGAAUAGGGCGGUACCUUGACGGUACCUAACCAGAAAGCCACGGCUAACUACGUGCCAGCAGCCGCGGUAAUACGUAGGUGGCAAGCGUUGUCCGGAAUUAUUGGGCGUAAAGGGCUCGCAGGCGGUUUCUUAAGUCUGAUGUGAAAGCCCCCGGCUCAACCGGGGAGGGUCAUUGGAAACUGGGGAACUUGAGUGCAGAAGAGGAGAGUGGAAUUCCACGUGUAGCGGUGAAAUGCGUAGAGAUGUGGAGGAACACCAGUGGCGAAGGCGACUCUCUGGUCUGUAACUGACGCUGAGGAGCGAAAGCGUGGGGAGCGAACAGGAUUAGAUACCCUGGUAGUCCACGCCGUAAACGAUGAGUGCUAAGUGUUAGGGGGUUUCCGCCCCUUAGUGCUGCAGCUAACGCAUUAAGCACUCCGCCUGGGGAGUACGGUCGCAAGACUGAAACUCAAAGGAAUUGACGGGGGCCCGCACAAGCGGUGGAGCAUGUGGCUUAAUUCGAAGCAACGCGAAGAACCUUACCAGGUCUUGACAUCCUCUGACAAUCCUAGAGAUAGGACGUCCCCUUCAGGG
rnacentral:rRNA from 1 species